UACUAAAGUGAUAAUACAACCCAAAAAUAAGUUUAUACUCGAGUGUGUGCCAAGACCUGGUGUCACAAGUAAUAGACAUCUAGUAGAAUAUACAAAAGAAUAUCUCUAUCCUACUGUCUGAGAUAGAAAAGACAUCAAAAGUAAGAAAAGACUCCAUCCGGCUGCUGAACGGCAUAGGAAGGAAGCAGCUCACCGUGGAAGUCUCGGUUUAUGAAUCAGGGGCGUGCACCAGACUGAUAGCCAGAUGUACCUGCCUCAGAUCCUGUACAAUAAAGUGAUUUAAGCUAAUUCAAUAAGCGGAGAAGGAUAUAUUCCACAUCAAUUUAAAGUCAUUUUUACACAUUGAUCAAAGAUACCAACACUUAAACCAAAUAUCAAAGAAGAGCAUGAAGACAUAAUAUUCAUAAGACAACAUGUAUUUCAGUUAGUUAAAGUUGGUUUCAAACAAAACAUUUUAAAACCAAUAAGCCGAUGCAAAGUCAUGGUGUAUAACAUGUCAUCUAAGAAUUCUAACAUAAAGUUCACUUAUGCUUGUAGCAGGAUAGAAUAGAAAAAGAGUCGCAACUUAUUCCAAGUUGUCUUAUUAAAAACAAAAGAAAAAUAAAAUAUACCAGAGUAUUGGAGAAAAUGACACACACAUUUCUGCAUUCCAAGCACAAAAUAGACUCCAAAUCAGUUUCUAAAGUCAGCAAAUGUACUCUAUAGAACAAAUAAUAUGGACACGAGUCAAACACCAUAGGAUCAAAAUAUAAAUUCCUAAGAGCAUGAUUUCUAAACACAUCUUUAUCUAGAAUUUCAGGAAUGCAUUUUUAAGAUAAUUAAAGUCUAAAACAUGAUUCUUAAAUACAACAUUUUUUAACAAAAAAGAGAAAAGAAACAGAAUGGGGUCAAAUAUUACCUCUUGUAGUGAAGCGAACCAGAGCUUCGACCUCGAAUCUACUCUCUCGUUAUGAACAGAUCCGAACCUCAAGUCGAAUGGGUUCGAGCACCUCUAUUGCGGCUAAAGUACACUGAGAUAUUAAAUAAAGUUUGAAAGCUCUUUCUGAGAGUUUCUAAGAGACGAGAAGAGUGAUAAGAGUAAGAAAAAUAGUAGUGUUUACAGUAGUGUUCGAGCGGCGGCUCCAACCUAUCUAAACCCACCCGGAUGUGAGUAUUUAUAAGAGAUGUAGAUCUAGGGUUCAUGUUUGGGCGGGAUUUUGCAAACUUCAAAUUUUGAGAAAUAGUCGUUGUGAGAGGUCAAAAUUGUGAUGCAAGAUAGCAGAAAAAGGGACUGACAUGGAUGGAUGAACAAAGAAAAGGGG
rnacentral:lncRNA from 1 species